GGCUGGUCCAGAGGUUGUGGGUUCUCUCAGCUGGCUGCUCUCCGUCAGCUACAGAUCCAACUCCUCGUUCGACUCCCUGCCCUCCUCACUAUUGCACUUGGCUGGUCUAUA
ensembl:misc_RNA Y_RNA Y RNA